UCAUCAGAGACAUCAUUAAAAGAAUCAUUAGCCAGCAUAACUUGCCCAACUGUGCCCUAAAAGACAGUUCAUGAGACCUUAUCUGCCUUAGUUCUGCACAAUAUAUACAUAAUUCCUUCAUAGGUCCAGCUAAUUACAGAUGCCACUCCAAUCAAUGAUCUCUUCCAAGAGUCCUUUCUAGCAACUGCCACCUUCUCUCCCAGUCUGCUUUGGACUGAGUUGCUACUGCAUCUGGGCAUCUGAUGUGAUGCAGCUGAAAACCAUAACAGCCUUUCAAUCAAACAGAACUCUUAGGAAAGUAAGAGUAACUUAAAGUAAAUAACUCUUAGAGGAAAGUAGUUGCUUCUGAGCACCCUUCUAUCUUUCUGAACUGUCUCCCUGUUCUGUGAGACUCCCUUGGUAGCUCCCUGAAGAAUCUGCCCACUGAACCACAGGCGUCUUUCCAUCACAGGGGACAUGCUGCAACUUGGCAGAUUGGCCUGACAAUGCAGACUUUGAUCCUUUGAGAUCAAACCCUGAAGGCCACAGUGCAGUAGAGGUGACCGCACUGUCAUGGAAGCCAGAGAAGUCCCUUAGCACUUCAGCUUUUCUCUCCUUUACCUUUAGGUCUGAUAUUCCAUCUCAGCCCUUCCCAGUUAAAGAAAUGGCUCGUGGUAUUUCCAGGAAAUAUUCAAAGAUCAAGAUGAGGAUUUUCAUCUUCAAGAAAUACAGGUCCCUGGUGUCUACUGUGUGAGCUUCAGGUACCGGAGAACAGCAUAAACUAAGAGCGCCCUGCUACAGGGUUAAGUACCCGUGUGCCAACCUGUCGAGUGCCGCUGCAGGGGGAACCUCGGGGUCAGCGCCUGGCUGCAGGGAGG